AUUGAUGAUUGAAGCAACUUCACUUGGUUGUUUGCUGUUGCAAGUUGACAGGAAUAUGUAUUACUAAUGUCUGCCUACAGCGUACCAUCAUUUUGUUUAACAGGAAGCAAGAUGUUUAACACUACAUUAUUUUUUCUGCUCAAUACAGAAUCCCAUUGAUCUAAUGGAAAUCUCAUGCUAUAUCUGUGGCUACAUGUAUAUUGUACCUUGGAUCUGAGUUUCCACAGCUGUAUAAGAAUUUUAAAAGAAAGUCAACAGAAGGCACUUCUUACUUGUUGCUUGCCCUGGCUAUGAUGGGGAGCAGCACAAUGGGCUGAGCCUACUUGUGAAACUACCUGGUCUGAAGGGUCCGAAGAGCAUCUUCAUUCUCGAUCAUUUGGCCUGGUUGAUUGGCAGCUUCGGGGUACUUUUCCUGGACUUUGUUCACAGUUCAUCCUGUAUCGGAAGCACAAAUACACUGGACCAAGCUUGGUGGCCUUGAAGAAAAUCCCAGAGGUGGAACCACUCCUCUGUGACGAAGAGGAGGCCUGCAAAAUGUUGCACAAAGUGUUUGAACUUCAGUCUUGCAUUUCAAAGUGUUUUGAACUAAAAAAAAAAUAAAAAAAAUAAAAAGACGCAA